rnacentral:piRNA from 1 species
UGGGUCUAUGUGAUUUUCCUAGAGUAGUCC